rfam:Capsicum annuum cultivar Zunla-1 chromosome 6, whole genome shotgun sequence
CAAAAGGUUUUUUUUAAAACCGUUCAUUAAGUUUAAUAAAUUAAAU